rnacentral:rRNA from 1 species
UACGUAGGUGACCAGCGUUGUCCGGAUUUACUGGGCGUAAAGAGCGCGCAGGCGGUCGUUCAAGUCGAGUGUGAAAGCCCCCGGCUCAACUGGGGAGGGUCACUCGAUACUGAUCGACUCGAAGGCAGGAGAGGGUAGUGGAAUUCCCGGUGUAGUGGUGAAAUGCGUAGAUAUCGCUUGGAACGCCAAUGGUGAAAACAGCUCGCUGGGGGUGUGCUGACGCUGAGACACGAAAGCCAGGGGAGCGAACGGG